UGGCGGACGGCUGAGUAACACGUAGGGACUUACCUCUUUUUGAAGGAUAGCCCAUCGAAAGGUGGGAUAAUACUUCGUAGUACCCCGAUUUAAUCGGGGUUAAAGGGAAUAACUUCCUGAGAAGAGAUGGACCUGCGGCUUAUCAGAUAGUUGGUGGGGUAACGGCCUACCAAGUCAACGACGAGUAGCUGGCCUGAGAAGGUGGUCAGCCAGAGGGGGACUGAGACACGGCCCCCACUCCUACGGGAGGCAGCAAUCAGGAAUAGUCGGCAAUGGACGAAAGUCUGACCGCGCGACACCGCGUGUAGGAAUAAGCUCUAACGAGCGUAAACUACUGUGAUAGAGGAAGAAACCCGCCUAAUUUGGCGGGCUGACGGUACUCUAUAAGAAAGGGGCCGCUAACUGCGUGCCAGAAGCGUCGGUAAUACGUGGGGCCCCAAACAUUAUCCGGUUUUACUGGGUGUAAAAAGUAGUGUAGGUGUCUUGAUAAGUUUUGAUUUAAAUACUAUGGCCCAACCAUAGGACAGGUCAAAAUACUAUCGGGAUAGAGUUUGCUUUAGAGAAACUGGGAACUCAGGGAGGAGUAGUGAAAUGCGUUGAUACCCUGGGGAACACCAGUGGCGAAGGCGAGUUUCUGAAAGCAGACUGACACUGAGACACGAAAGCUAGGGGAGCGAAGCAGAUUAGAGACCUGCGUAGUCCUAGCCCUAAACGUAUGCUUGCUAGCCGCAUUUUCCCCGCUCUGCGGGGGGGGUGUAGCGAAGGUAACCCGUUAAGCAAGCCACCUGGGGAGUACGGCCGCAAGGUUGAAACUCAAAGGAAUUGGCGGGGAGGCACACAACCAGUGGAACAUGUGGUUCAAUUCGAAACAAACCGAAGAACCUCACCAGGGUUUGACAUGCUAUCGUACAUUCUGCUAGAAAUAGUGGGAAAUCCGCAAGGAUGAUAGCACAGGUGCUGCAUGGCUGUCGUCAGCUCGUUCCGUGAGGAGUACCCUUAAGUGGGACAACGAGCGCAACCCUUAUCUUGUGUUAUAUUUGUCACGAGAGACGGUCCCGACUUAGUCGGGAAGGAAGGUGGGGCAGACGUCAAGUCAGCAUGGUCCUUAUGCCCUGGGCUACACACAUGUUACAAUGGAUAAGAACAACGGGUUUUGCCACGAAGUAAUUCGAAGCAAAUCCCUGAAAUUUAUCCUCAGUGGGGAUUGAGGUCUGCAACUCGACCUCAUGAACACGGAAUUGGUAGUAAUCGCGGAUCAGUCAUGCCGCGGUGAAUACGUUCUUGCCUCUUGCACACACCGCCCGUCAAGCCAACAAAGUCGAUGAUAUUUGAACCCCGAUCUAAUCGGGGGAGGAUAUUACCGGCGAUGGGGGUUA
rnacentral:rRNA from 1 species